rnacentral:rRNA from 1 species
AUUGAACGCUGGCGGCAGGCCUAACACAUGCAAGUCGAGCGAGCGGCGGGCGGGUGAGUAAUGCGUGGGAAUUGCCCAGUCGAGGGGGAUAACAGUUGGAAACGACUUCUAAUACCGCAUUCGCGUGGAUUGCCCAGGUGGGUUUAGCUAGUUGGUGAUGUAAUGGCUCACCAAGGCGACGAUCCCUAGCUGGUCUGAGAGGAUGACAAGCCACACUGGAACUGAGACACGGUCCAGACUCCUACGGGAGGCAGCAGUGGGGAAUAUUGCACAAUGGGGGAAACCCUGAUGCAGCCAUGCCGCGUGUGUGAAGAAGGCCUUCGGGUUGUAAAGCACUUUCAGCGAGGAGGCGUUACUCGCAGAAGAAGCACCGGCUAACUCCGUGCCAGCAGCCGCGGUAAUUC